GAUGAACGCUAGCUACAGGCUUAACACAUGCAAGUCGCGGGGCAGCAUGGGGGUUGCUUGCAAUCCCCGAUGGCGACCGGCGCACGGGUGAGUAACGCGUAUCCAACCUGCCCUUCACCACGGGAUAACCCGGCGAAAGUCGGACUAAUACCGUAUGUUGUCCAUUGACGGCAUCCGAUUUGGACGAAAGGCUUGGCGGUGAGGGAUGGGGAUGCGUCCGAUUAGCCAGACGGCGGGGUAACGGCCCACCGUGGCUACGAUCGGUAGGGGUUCUGAGAGGAAGGUCCCCCACACUGGAACUGAGACACGGUCCAGACUCCUACGGGAGGCAGCAGUGAGGAAUAUUGGUCAAUGGGCGUAAGCCUGAACCAGCCAAGUAGCGUGCAGGAUGACGGCCCUAUGGGUUGUAAACUGCUUUUAUGCGGGGAUAAAGUGGCCCACGUGUGGGCUUUUGCAGGUACCGAAUGAAUAAGGACCGGCUAAUUCCGUG
rnacentral:rRNA from 1 species